rnacentral:rRNA from 1 species
AAGGUUUCUUCGGAAACUGGGCAGCGGCGGACGGGUGAGUAACGCGUGGGAAUAUACCUUUUGGUGGGGGACAACAGUUGGAAACGACUGCUAAUACCGCAUACGCCCUUCGGGGGAAAGAUUUAUCGCCAAGAGAUUAGCCCGCGUAAGAUUAGAUAGUUGGUGAGGUAACGGCUCACCAAGGCUAAGACGGGUAGCUGGUCUGAGAGGACGAUCAGCCACACUGGAACUGAGACACGGUCCAGACUCC